AUGUCUGUAGGUCGCUCUCAGCACACGGCUACCUCGAGCAUGCGGCGCCGGCAAGAGGCCGAGCGUGCCGUGGCAGAGGAGCGUGAGCGAGCGGCUGUAGCAGCGGCUGCUGCGGCGGCAAGAGUGUCGAGGCUGGCUGCAGCGGAGCUGGCAGCAGCCAGAGCGGAGGUAGAAGCAGCCAGGGCGGAGGUAGAAGCAGCAACAGCAGCAGCAGAAGCAGCCCGUGAGGCUACGGCGGAUGCCAAGGCACUCCGCGGCAGCCCCGGCAGCUCCAGCAGCUCCGUGCCUGCGGACGACGGCGCCGACGCAGAUCGCGCCAAAGUGGCGCAGGAGCGGACGGCGCAGUGGGCAGCCGAGCACGCCCGCGCUCCAGGUGGAGGCGCGCACCGCGACGGCGGCUGCAACGACCAGGACCGCGGCCUCUACGAGGUCCGGACUGUGGUUAGGGAUGUUGGUUCCAGUGUUGGGUGGCCUACCCUCACUAAAACCAACUACGUCGAGUGGGCCGGGAUCAUGAAGGUCAGGCUCCAGGUGCGGCGCAUGUGGGAGGCAGUCCAAGACAGCAACGUCGACCACCUAGAGGAUCGACGGGCACUGGACGCCCUCAUCGCCGCAGUCCCGCCCGAGAUGCAGUUCUCGCUUUCCAACAAGCGGACUGCCAAGGAGGCUUGGGACGCCAUCGCCGCAGCACGCAUCGGCAGCGACCGUGCUCGCAAGUCCACCCUGCAGGCACUUCGUAAGGAGUGGGAGAACCUGGGCUUCAAGCCAGGUGAGGACGUUGAUGACUUUGCUCUCCGUCUCAACACUCUGCUGCAGAAGAUGGUGAAGUUUGGCGAUGCCACCUACACCGAGGAGAGAGCUGUCGAGAAGCUUUUUUGGUGCAUUCCCGAGAAGUACAAGCAGAUGGCUCGCUCGAUCGAGUCGUUGCUGGACCUCUCCACGAUGACGAUCGAGGAGGCGAUAGGUCGACUCAAGGUCGUCGACACCGACGAGCCACAGCCCCCCUCGGGGCCCGUCACCACCGAGCUACCCUCGGCGACUCCAGUCGCAAAGGCUUUCAUCCACCUCGAUGAGCCAAAAGCACACGCUCUUCUCGGCGAUGGCUCCGGGAAGGACAAGGCUACGGGGUGGUGCCUCGACACCGGCGCCACCCACCACAUGACCGGUCGAAGGGAAUUCUUCGCCGAGCUCGACUCCGAUGCGCGAGGCUCCGUCAAGUUCGGGGAUGCCUCCGCUGUGGAGAUAAAGGGCGUCGGCUCCGUCAUCUUCACCACCAAGAUGGGAGAGCACCGGCUGCUCACCGGUGUCUACUACAUCCCCGCGCUAAGGAAUUCCAUCAUCAGCUUGGGACAGCUGGAUGAGAACUGCUCACGCGUGCUGAUUGAGCAUGGGGUCCUACGCAUCUGGGAUCGCCAGCGUCGCCUUCUCGCCAAGGUGCCCAGAGGUGAAAACCGACUCUACGUCCUUGAUGUGCAGGUGGCACAACCGGUCUGUCUCGCUGUUCGUCGAGACGACGAGGCGUGGCAGUGGCAUGAGCGCUUUGGGCACCUUCACUUUGAGGCCCUGAAGCGUCUAAGUGCCAAGGAGAUGGUGCGAGGCCUGCCAUGCCUCGACCAUGUGGAGCAGUUCUGCGACAUCUGCGUACUGACAAAGCAGAGACGACUCCCCUUUCCCCAACAGGCGAGUUUUCGGGCUAAGGAGAAGCUGGAGCUCGUGCACGGAGACCUGUGCGGCCCGGUGACGCCAGCCACACCAGGAGGUCGACGCUACUUCCUGCUGCUCGUCGACGAUCUCUCCCGCUACAUGUGGGUGAUGAUCCUCGGCAGUAAGGGAGAAGCGGCGGACGCCAUCAGGCGCGCGCAGGUUGGUGUGGAGGCGGAGAGCGGCCGCAAAUUGCGCGUGUUGCGCACUGACAACGGCGGCGAGUUCACGAUGGCUGAAUUCGCGUCGUACUGCACCGAUGAGGGCAUCCAGCGCCACUACUCCGCGCCGUACAGCCCGCAGCAAAACGGCGUCAUCGAGCGGCGCAACCAGACGUUUGUGGGGAUGGCUCGGGCUCUCCUCAAGCAGAGAGGGAUGCCGGCUGUUUUCUGGGGAGAGGCGGUGCUAACGGCCGUCUACAUCCUCAACCGCUCUCCUACUAAGGCACUCGAUGGCAGAACUCCGUACGAGGCCUGGCAUGGGCGGAAGCCGGCGGUCUCUCAUUUGCGGGUCUUUGGCUGCCUUGCGUUCGCCAAGGAGCUCGGCCACAUCGGCAAGCUCGACGACAGGAGCACUCCGGGAGUCUUCAUCGGCUACGCGGAGGGCUCAAAGGCCUACCGCAUCCUCGACCCAAAGACACAACGUGUGCGCACAGCGCGAGACGUCGUGUUCAAUGAAGGGCGAGGGUGGCAAUGGGACAAGGCGGUGGACGACGGCUCGACGCCGAUGUAUGACGACUUCAUUAUCGACCCGAUGAAGUUCGCUUCCCCGCUCACUCACGACGAGGAGCGGGUCGACGCAUGGUAUGGAGGCGAACCGCUGCGGUACCGUACGAUGGAUAAUGUGCUCGGCGACCAGCCGGUGCCAGGACUGGUGCCACGUGACCUGGAGGCGCAGCUACAGCUCGUGUGUGAAGACGGCGAACCACGGUCCUUUGCAGAGGCCGAGAGAGACGCGGCAUGGCGCGCCGCGAUGAAGUUGGAGAUGGAUGCGGUCGAGCAAAACCGCACCUGGGAGCUUGCUGAUCUCCCUCGAGGUCACCGCGCAAUCACCCUUAAGUGGGUGUUCAAGCUGAAGAGGGAUGGAGCCGGCGCCAUCAUCAAGCACAAGGCUCGUUUGGUGGCCCGAGGCUUCUUGCAGCAGGAAGGAGUCGACUUCGACGACGCUUUCGCUCCCGUGGCACGGAUGGAGUCCGUGCGACUUCUCCUUGCGCUGGCUGCCCAGGAGGGCUGGCGUGUCCACCACAUGGACGUUAAGUCGGCAUUCCUCAAUGGCGACUUGAAGGAGGAAGUCUAUGUGCAUCAGCCACCGGGGUUUACGAUUCCCGGCCAGGAGGGCAAGGUGCUCCGCCUGCGCAAGGCUCUCUAUGGCCUGCGGUAG
rnacentral:rRNA from 1 species